CUGAUCUUUCCGCGGAUCAGUUGCUCUGAGAGGAGGUCUUCAUGCUAUGCUAUAUAUCAUCGUUUUGUGAUUGACAAGCCUGUGCAACACAAGGUUGUUACAGAGAUGGCCAUGAAAUGCGCAUUUGCAUUGUUUGGGUUCAUUGAACUUGGCAUUGGGGCGUUGGCACUUGUACUAGAGGAGAAGCUGAGGCGCUUCAACAUUGACAUCCUCUUGUUCGAACGGGAAAUAUUGGUGGUUAUUCCAAAUGAAA